rnacentral:rRNA from 1 species
AUGCAAAUCCGCUACAUGCUCUCCAACCAGAAGAAGAAGGACCUAUCUGAUGUUGCAUACUACAACAAGAUGAAGGGCUACGCUGAUGCUAUGGCGUCCGUUGGCAAGCCCAUCUCCGAUGAGGAGGUUCUCGGCUACAUGCUCGCUGGUCUGGGCUCAGAAUAUGAGCCCCUUGUUGCUUCAAUCACGGCGCGUAAUGAGCCAGUGAGCCUCGCUAGUUUCUAUGCGUAUUUGCUUAGCGUCGAGCUUCGUCUUGAG